AAUGGGACAGGAUCCACCAGUCAGGUCGCUACUCUGAGCUUCCACGGCAAUCGAUCUUCGAUCGAGCUUUUACAAUAAGCGACCUCCUUUCAGCCUUCUGCAAGAAUCGGACUCCAUCCGAACUUCCAUAACGGAUGGAUUUCGGAUGAGCUUCUACAACAGACGGGCUCCAGUAGCUGGAUUUUUACAACGGUCGAUCGUCUCUGGUGUCUGCCGAACCUCCCCAGCCAUCAACCUUCAAUAGCG
rnacentral:lncRNA from 1 species